rnacentral:rRNA from 1 species
CCUACGGGUGGCAGCAGUGGGGAAUAUUGCACAAUGGGGGAAACCCUGAUGCAGCGACGCCGCGUGAGGGAUGAAGUAUUUCGGUAUGUAAACUUCUAUCAGCAGGGAAGAAAAUGGCGGUACCUGACUAAGAAACCCCGGCUAACUACGUGCCCACAGCCGCUGUAAUACGUAGGGGGCAAACGUUAUCCGGAUUUACUGGGUGUAAAGGGAGCGUAGACGGCAUGGCAAGUCUGAUGUGAAAACACGGGGCUCAACCCCGGGACUGCAUUUGAAACUGUCAGGCUAGAGUGUCGGAGAGGUAAGUGGAAUUCCUAGUGUAGCGGUGAAAUGCGUAGAUAUUAGGAGGAACACCAGUGGCGAAGGCGGCUUGCUGGACUAUGACUGACGUUGAGGCUCGAAAGCGUGGGGAGCAAACAGGAUUAGAUACCCGUGUAGUC